CACCGCCCGUCACACCAUGGGAGUUGGUUUCACCCGAAGGCUAGUGCGCUAACCGCAAGGAGGCAGCUGACCACGGUGGGAUCAGCGACUGGGGUG
rnacentral:rRNA from 1 species